rnacentral:rRNA from 1 species
GAUGAACGCUGGCGGCGUGCCUAAUACAUGCAAGUCGAGCGAACAGACGAGGAGCUUGCUCCUCUGACGUUAGCGGCGGACGUGUGAGUAACACGUGGAUAACCUACCUAUAAGACUGGUAUAACUUCGGGAAACCGGCGCUAAUACCGGAUAAUAUAUUGAACCGUAUGGUUCAAUAGUGAAAGACGGUUUUGCUGUCACUUAUAGAUGGAUCCGAGCUGCAUUAGCUAGUUGUUAAGUUAACGGCUUACCAAGGCGACGAUGCGUAGCCGACCGGAGAGGGUGAUCGGCCGCACGGGAACUUAGACAGGGUCCAGACUACUAAGGGAGGCAGCAGUAGGGAAUCUGCCGCAAUGGGCGAAAGCCUGGCGGAACAGCGCCGCGUGAGUGACGAAGGUGUUGGGAUCGUAAAACUCUGUUAUGAGGGAAGAACAAAUGUGUAAGUAACUAUGCACGUCUUGACGGUACCUAAUCAGAAAGCCACGGCUAACUACGUG